CCUACGGGUGGCAGCAGUCGAGAAUCAUUCACAAUGGGGGAAACCCUGAUGGUGCGACGCCGCGUGGGGGAAUGAAGGUCUUCGGAUUGUAAACCCCUGUCAUGUGGGAGCAAAUUAAAAAGAUAGUACCACAAGAGGAAGAGACGGCUAACUCUGUGCCAGCAGCCGCGGUAAUACAGAGGUCUCAAGCGUUGUUCGGAAUCACUGGGCGUAAAGCGUGCGUAGGCUGUUUCGUAAGUCGUGUGUGAAAGGCGCGGGCUCAACCCGCGGACGGCACAUGAUACUGGGAGACUGGAGUAAGGGAGGGGGAACCGGAAUUCGCGGUGUAGCAGUGAAAUGCGUAGAUAUCGAGAGGAACACUCGUGGCGAAGGCGGGUUCCUGGACAUUAACUGACGCUGAGGCACGAAGGCCAGGGGAGCGAAAGGGAUUAGAUACCCCAGUAGUC
rnacentral:rRNA from 1 species